rnacentral:rRNA from 1 species
GGAAAUCUCACCAGGCCCGGACACUGGAAGGAUUGACAGAUUGAGAGCUCUUUCUCGAUUCGGUGGGUGGUGGUGCAUGGCCGUUCUUAGUUGGUGGAGUGAUUUGUCUGGUUAAUUCCGAUAACGAACGAGACUCUGUCCUGCUAAAUAGUGUCAGCCUCUCUUCUGGGCUGACAAUUCUUCUUAGAGGGACUGGCGACUCUUAGUCGCACAAGAUUGAGCAAUAA